GAUGAACGCUGGCGGCGUGCCUAACACAUGCAAGUCGAGCGAUUCUCUUCGGAGAAGAGCGGCGGACGGGUGAGUAACGCGUGGGUAACCUGCCCUGUACACGCGGAUAACAUACCGAAAGGUAUGCUAAUACGAGAUAAUAUGCUUUUAUCGCAUGGUAGAAGUAUCAAAGUUUUUGCGGUACAGGAUGGACCCGCGUCUGAUUAGCUAGUUGGUAAGGUAACGGCUUACCAAGGCGACGAUCAGUAGCCGACCUGAGAGGGUGAUCGGCCACAUUGGAACUGAGACACGGUCCAAACUCCUACGGGAGGCAGCAGUGGGGAAUAUUGCACAAUGGGCGAAAGCCUGAUGCAGCAACGCCGCGUGAGCGAUGAAGGCCUUCGGGUCGUAAAGCUCUGUCCUCAAGGAAGAUAAUGACGGUACUUGAGGAGGAAGCCCCGGCUAACUACGUGCCAGCCGCCGCAGUAACAC
rnacentral:rRNA from 1 species